GUGUCAGCAGCCGCGGUAAUACGUAGGAUCCAAGCGUUGUCCGGAUUUACUGGGUGUAAAGGGUGCGCAGGCGGAAUGGUAAGUCAGAGGUGAAAUCUCAUCGCUCAACGGUGAAACUGCCUUUGAUACUAUCAUUCUUGAGUCCGAUAGAGAUCUGUGGAAUUCCGAGUGUAGCAGUGAAAUGUGUAGAUAUUCGGAAGAACACCAGUGGCGAAGGCAGCAGAUUGGGUCGGUACUGACGCUCAGGCACGAAAGCAUGGGGAUCAAACAGGAUUAGAAACCCUCGUAGUCC
rnacentral:rRNA from 1 species